CAGUGCCACGGUAAUACGGAGGGUGCAAGCGUUAUCCGGAUUUAUUGGGUUUAAAGGGUCCGUAGGCGGACUUAUAAGUCAGUGGUGAAAGCCUGUCGCUUAACGAUAGAACUGCCAUUGAUACUGUAAGUCUUGAGUAUAUUUGAGGUAGCUGGAAUAAUUAGUGUAGCGGUGAAAUGCAUAGAUAUUACUUAGAACACCAAUUGCGAAGGCAGGUUACCAAGAUAUAACUGACGCUGAGGGACGAAAGCGUGGGUAGCGAACAGGAUUAGAGACCCCUGUAGUCCCUGUCUCUUAUACA
rnacentral:rRNA from 1 species